GACGAAGGCUUUCGGGUCGUAAACCUCUGUCAGGAGGGAAGAAACUGUUUGAUGUUAAUACCANCUUUCACUGACGGUACCUCCAGAGGAAGCACCGGCUAACUCCGUGCCAGCAGCCGCGGUAAUACGGAGGGUGCGAGCGUUAAUCGGAAUCACUGGGCGUAAAGCGCGCGUAGGCGGCGCGAUAAGUCAGGCGUGAAAGCCCUCGGCUCAACCGGGGAAUUGCGCUUGAUACUGUCGUGCUUGAGUCUCGGAGAGGGUGGCGGAAUUCCAGGUGUAGGAGUGAAAUCCGUAGAUAUCUGGAGGAACACCAGUGGCGAAGGCGGCCACCUGGACGAGUACUGACGCUGAGGUGCGAAAGCGUGGGGAGCGAACAGGAUUAGAUACCCUGGUAGUCCACGCCGUAAACGAUGGAUGCUAGAUGUCGGGCCUUAACCGGUUCGGUGUCGAAGUUAACGCGAUAAGCAUCCCGCCU
rnacentral:rRNA from 1 species